rnacentral:rRNA from 1 species
CUCCUUCGGGAGCAGAGUGACAGGUGGUGCAUGGUUGUCGUCAGCUCGUGUCGUGAGAUGUUGGGUUAAGUCGCGCAACGAGCGCAACCCUUGAUCUUAGUUGCCAUCAUUAAGUUGGGCACUCUAAGGUGACUGCCGGUGACAAACCGGACGAAGGUGGCGAUGACGUCAUAUCAUCAUGCGCCUUAUGACCUGGGCUACACACGUGCUACAAUGGACGGUACAAAGAGCUGCAAGACCGCGAGGUGGAGCUAAUCUCAUAAAACCGUUCUCAGUUCGGAUUGUAGGCUGCAACUCGCCUACAUGAAGCUGGAAUCGCUAGUAAUCGCGGAUCAGCAUGCCGCGGUGAAUACGUUCCCGGGCCUUGUACACACCGCCCGUCACACCACGAGAGUUU